AAGUGCUGAUCGAUCCACUUUCAAUCCAGAAGUUGGGGGAGACGAAAUCAGCCUCUUACCAACAAAUUUGGAUGUUGGGAACCAGCUAUUCUUCCUCUUGUAGGACGUGUCCUUAACAAAAGUUCCUCCACAUAGCAGCUGAUGGCCAAAAAGAGAAGCUGCAGCAAUCGAUUGAACCAUCCUAACGAGUUAUCUGCUUCAACCCAACUACAAAUUUGACACUUUAAGCUCUCAAAUUACAACCAAACUUCACUUACAAAAAACCAACCCACCUGAAUUCCUAUCAAUCAAUUUCAACGUCUCCAAG
rnacentral:misc_RNA from 1 species